AAUUGAAGAAGAAAAUAUCUUCCUUCUCUCUAUCUCUAUUUCUUGUUCAUGUUUUACAAAAUUGCUUUUAUUUCCUUGUUCCAUGUUGUUACUUUGAGUUAUAUUUAAUAACACGUUAUCAGCACGAGUCUCUAACCACUUUUAUAUAUAUCUACAAAAAAUUUCCUACAUCCAGAAAAUUUGCAAUUAGAAGCCAUAUAUAUCAUCUCAUGGUUAGAUGUAAAGAGAAACUACAUAUGGCAUGAAGAUUGUCCCACUUGAUUAGCUCCACUCUUGAAGUGAAUAUGGUAGCAGGGCAUAAUAAGUCUAAAUGAAGACAAGUGGCUGAACAAUGAACAUGAGCGUUCCAAAUAAUAAUAAUCAUCACAAUGAUUAUAAAAGGAGAAUAACAAGGGUUCUCAAAAUAAGACCUUCAAAAUGUAAAGGCAAUGUUUACCAACAAAUUGGUAUGAAGCACAUCACUAAUUAUGAUCCAUUCCUUGAAGAGAAUGUAACUUGUGAUAAGCAUUGAGAAUGCAGAUCCAUUCCUAAAGGUGAAUGUGGCAAUAUGUGACAAAGCAAUAAAGACAUGCAAUUCAUGAUUAGAUGAAUAUCACACAACUCACCUCUAAGGGAGGUUUGAGCGAAAUAAAGAGAAUAAAUAUUAUUGUGUGGUUACAUGAAUAUGUCAUUGGUCGCGUACAUGCGGUACACCAAAAAUUAUUUUGUCAUACCUUACAAAGUUAUUAAAGGCAAAAUUAAAGCAAGAAAUGAUUCUGCUUAUGAUAAUUUUGACCAUGACAAUUAUUAUGAUAUACUUUUCUCAGUGAAUGAGACAUUUACCAUAUGAAUGGUAUGAUAAAAGAUCUUGUAGUACAAAAGCUGUUAAGAGCUCCGGAAAAACUAAUUUGUUACUAUCCGGAUGAAUAAAAUUAUUCAUGACAUUGAUAUUGUAAAUGUCUCAAAAAGAAA